rnacentral:rRNA from 1 species
AAUUUUAAGGUCAAGCUACAAAGGGCGCAUGGUGAAUGCCUUGGCACUAGGAGCCGAAGAAGGACGCGAUAAGCUGCGAUAAGCCUUGGGUAGCCGCAAAUAGGCUGAGAUCCAGGGAUUUCCGAAUGAGGAAACUCACAUGGGUAACCCCAUGUAUCAUGCACUGAAUACAUAGGUGUAUGAGGGUAAACCCGGGGAACUGAAACAUCUAAGUACCCGGAGGAAGAGAAAGAAAAAUCGAUUUCCUAAGUAGCGGCGAGCGAACGGGAAAGAGCCCAAACCAGAAACUUGUUUCUGGGGUUGUGGAUAGAUCAUAAAAGAAGAGGUAUCUUAAUCGAAGAGGGCUGGAACGCCCUACCAUAGAAGGUAAUAGUCCUGUAGGUAAAAAGAGAAAACUUCGAGAUCUAAUCCAGAGUACCACGAGACACGUGAAACCUUGUGGGAAGCAGGGAGGACCACCUCCCAAGGCU